rnacentral:tRNA from 1 species
GGGGUCGUGGCUCAGUGGUAGAGUGCUUGCCUAGCAUAUGUGAGGUCCUGAGUUCAAUUCUCAGCCCCA